AUUGAACGCUGGCGGCAGGCUUAACACAUGCAAGUCGGGCGGUAACAGAGAGAAGCUUGCUUCUCUGCUGACGAGCGGCGGACGGGUGAGUAAUGCCUAGGAAUCUGCCUAGUAGUGGGGGAUAACUUGCCGAAAGGUAAGCUAAUACCGCAUACGUCCUACGGGAGAAAGGAGGGGACCUUCGGGCCUUUCGCUAUUAGAUGAGCCUAGGUCGGACUAGUUAGUUGGGGAGGUAACGGCCCACCAAGGCGAUGAUGGGUAGGCGGCCUGAGAGGGUGUACGACCACACAGGGACUGAGAUACGGCCCAGACUCCUGCGGGAGGCAGCAGUUAAGAAUAUUCCGCAAUGGAGGUAAGUCUGACGGAGCGACGCCGCGUGGAUGACGAAGGCCGAAAGGUUGUAAAAUCCUUUUGUUGGGGAAGAAUAAGGCUGGGAGGGAAUGCCCGGCUGAUGACAUGAACCGACGAAUAAGUCCCGGCUAACUACGUGCCAGCCGCCGCGGUAA
rnacentral:rRNA from 1 species